UACGUAGGUGGCAAGCGUUGUCCGGAUUUACUGGGUGUAAAGGGCGUGUAGGCGGAGCUGCAAGUCAGAUGUGAAAUCCCGGGGCUCAACCCCGGAACUGCAUUUGAAACUGUAGCCCUUGAGUAUCGGAGAGGCAGGCGGAAUUCCUUGUGUAGCGGUGAAAUGCGUAGAUAUUAGGAGGAACACCAGUGGCGAAGGCGGCCUGCUGGACGACAACUGACGCUGAGGCGCGAAAGCGUGGGGAGCAAACAGG
rnacentral:rRNA from 1 species